ACGAUAACGGCGUCGAGCGGCGGACGGGUGAGUAAUGCCUAGGAAAUUGCCCUGAUGUGGGGGAUAACCAUUGGAAACGAUGGCUAAUACCGCAUGAUGCCUACGGGCCAAAGAGGGGGACCUUCGGGCCUCUCGCGUCAGGAUAUGCCUAGGUGGGAUUAGCUAGUUGGUGAGGUAAGGGCUCACCAAGGCGACGAUCCCUAGCUGGUCUGAGAGGAUGAUCAGCCACACUGGAACUGAGACACGGUCCAGACUCCUACGGGAGGCAGCAGUGGGGAAUAUUGCACAAUGGGCGCAAGCCUGAUGCAGCCAUGCCGCGUGUGUGAAGAAGGCCUUCGGGUUGUAAAGCACUUUCAGUCGUGAGGAAGGUAGUGUAGUUAAUAGCUGCAUUAUUUGACGUUAGCGACAGAAGAAGCACCGGCUAACUCCGUGCCAGCAGCCGCGGUAAUACGGAGGGUGCGAGCGUUAAUCGGAAUUACUGGGCGUAAAGCGCAUGCAGGUGGUUUGUUAAGUCAGAUGUGAAAGCCCGGGGCUCAACCUCGGAAUAGCAUUUGAAACUGGCAGACUAGAGUACUGUAGAGGGGGGUAGAAUUUCAGGUGUAGCGGUGAAAUGCGUAGAGAUCUGAAGGAAUACCGGUGGCGAAGGCGGCCCCCUGGACAGAUACUGACACUCAGAUGCGAAAGCGUGGGGAGCAAACAGGAUUAGAUACCC
rnacentral:rRNA from 1 species